rnacentral:rRNA from 1 species
AGCGAACGCUGGCGGCAGGCCUAACACAUGCAAGUCGAACGCACCUUCGGGUGAGUGGCGGACGGGUGAGUAACACGUGGGAACGUACCUUUAGGUUCGGAAUAACGCAGGGAAACUUGCGCUAAUACCGAAUGUGCCCUUCGGGGAAGGAUUUAUCGCCUUUAGAGCGGCCCGCGUUAGAUUAGCUAGUUGGUGAGGUAAUGGCCCACCAAGGCUACGAUCUAUAGCUGGUCUGAGAGGANGAUCAGCCACACUGGGACUGAGACACGGCCCAGACUCCUACGGGAGGCAGCAGUGGGGAAUCUUGCGCAAUGGGCGAAAGCCUGACGCAGCCAUGCCGCGUGAAUGAUGAAGGUCUUAGGAUUGUAAAAUUCUUUUAGCAGGGACGAUAAUGACGGUACCUGCAGAAAAAGCCCCGGCUAACUUCGUGCCAGCAGCCGCGGUAAU